rnacentral:rRNA from 1 species
AGAGUUUGAUCCUGGCUCAGAUUGAACGCUGCGGCAUGCCUUACACAUGCAAGUCGAACGGUAACAGGUCUUCGGAUGCUGACGAGUGGCGAACGGGUGAGUAAUACACCGGAACGUGCCCAGUAAUGGGGGAUAGCUCGGCGAAAGCCGGAUUAAUACCGCAUACGCCCUGAGGGGGAAAGUGGGGGAUCGCAAGACCUCACGUUAUUGGAGCGGCCGAUGGCUGAUUAGCUAGUUGGUAGGGUAAAGGCCUACCAAGGCGACGAUCAGUAGCUGGUCUGAGAGGACGAUCAGCCACACUGGGACUGAGACACGGCCCAGACUCCUACGGGAGGCAGCAGUGGGGAAUUUUGGACCAUGGGGGAAACCCUGAUCCAGCAAUGCCGCGUGUGCGAAGAAGGCCUUCGGGUUGUAAAGCACUUUUGUCAGGGAAGAAAUCCUUUGGGCUAAUACCCUAGGGGGAUGACGGUACCUGAAGAAUAAGCACCGGCUAACUACGUGCCAGCAGCCGCGGUAAUACGUAGGGUGCAAGCGUUAAUCGGAAUUACUGGGCGUAAAGCGUGCGCAGGCGGUUGUGUAAGACAGGUGUGAAAUCCCCGGGCUUAACCUGGGAAUUGCAUUUGUGACUGCACGACUAGAGUGUGUCAGAGGGGGGUGGAAUUCCACGUGUAGCAGUGAAAUGCGUAGAUAUGUGGAGGAACACCAAUGGCGAAGGCAGCCCCUGGGAUAACACUGACGCUCAUGCACGAAAGCGUGGGGAGCAAACAGGAUUAGAUACCCUGGUAGUCCACGCCCUAAACGAUGUCAACUAGUUGUUGGGGGAUUUACUUCCUUGGUAACG